GCCAACUACGUGCCAGCAGCCGCGGUAAUACGUAGGGUGCGAGCGUUGUCCGGAAUUACUGGGCGUAAAGAGCUCGUAGGCGGUUUGUCGCGUCGUCCGUGAAAACUCGGAGCUUAACUCCGAGCUUGCGGGCGAUACGGGCAGACUUGAGUACUACAGGGGAGACUGGAAUUCCUGGUGUAGCGGUGAAAUGCGCAGAUAUCAGGAGGAACACCGGUGGCGAAGGCGGGUCUCUGGGUAGUAACUGACGCUGAGGAGCGAAAGCAUGGGUAGCGAACAGGAUUAGAUACCCUUGUAGUC
rnacentral:rRNA from 1 species